GAUCGCUGCACGGCUCUCCACACAGUACCAUAGCUUAGAAACAAUGUGUUUUGUACUGUUGGCUGUUCCCUCUUCCAUCUCAAGACAAGAGCUAAAAGCAUGGGUUAUAGGAUGUUUUAAACUUUACAUCAAGGAACAAGAGAUGACUCAGUGAUCAAGAGUGCCCCAACUCUGACUCCAGGAGCUUCUGUGUCCUCUUCAGGCUUCUGUAUGAAAGCAAGCAUCAUCAGCUGAGUGACAACCUUC
rnacentral:lncRNA from 1 species